UACGGGAGGCAGCAGUGGGGAAUAUUGCACAAUGGGCGCAAGCCUGAUGCAGCCAUGCCGCGUGUAUGAAGAAGGCCUUCGGGUUGUAAAGUACUUUCAGUCGUGAGGAAGGUGUUAAGGUUAAUAACCUUAGCAAUUGACGUUAGCGACAGAAGAAGCACCGGCUAACUCCGUGCCAGCAGCCGCGGUAAUACGGAGAGGGCUAGCGUUAUUCGGAAUUAUUGGGCGUAAAGAGCGCGUAGGCUGAUUAGUAAGUUAAAGUGAAAUCCCAAAGCUUAACUUUGGAAUUGCUUUUAAAACUGCUAGUCUAGAGAUUGAAAGAGGAUAGAGGAAUUCCUAGUGUAGAGGUGAAAUUCGUAAAUAUUAGGAGGAACACCAGUGGCGAAAGGCGUCUAUCUGGUUCAAAUCUGACGCUGAGGCGCGAAGGCGUGGGGAGCAAACAGGGAUUAGAUACC
rnacentral:rRNA from 1 species